rnacentral:rRNA from 1 species
GACGAACGCUGGCGGCGUGCCUAAUACAUGCAAGUCGAGCGGAUGACGGAGGAGCUUGCUCCUCCUGAUUCAGCGGCGGACGGGUGAGUAACACGUGGGCAACCUGCCCUGUAGAUUGGGAUAACUCCGGGAAACCGGGGCUAAUACAGAAUAAUCCUUCGGACCUCAUGGUCCGAUGUUGAAAGACGGUUUCGGCUGUCACUACAGGAUGGGCCCGCGGCGCAUUAGCUAGUUGGUGAGGUAACGGCUCACCAAGGCCACGAUGCGUAGCCGACCUGGGAGGGGGAUCGGCCACACUGGGACGGGGACACGGCCCAGACUCCUACGGGAGGCAGCAGUAGGGAAUCCUCCACAAUGGACGAAAGUCUGAUGGAGCAACGCCGCGUGAGUGAAGAAGGUUCUCGGAUCGUAAAACUCUGUUGUGAGGGAAGAACAAGUACCGGAGUAACUGCCGGUACCUUGACGGUACCUCAUUAGAAAGCCACGGCUAACUACGUGCCAGCAGCCGCCGUAA